ensembl:lncRNA
GGUGAUAUUAAUGAUCAGGGACUGAUUUAGACCUGGGACACCAGGUGAGGUGAUAUUAAUGAUCAGGGACUGAUUUAGACCUGGGACACCAGGUGGGGUGAUAUUAAUGAUCGGGGACUGAUUUAGACCUGGGACACCAGGUGGGUGAUAUUAAUGAUCAGGGACUGAUUUAGACCUGGGACACCAGGUGGGUGAUAUUAAUGAUCAGGGACUGAUUUAGACCUGGGACACCAGGAGGGUGAUAUUAAUGAUCAAGGACUGAUUUAGACCUGGGACACCAGGUGGGGUGAUAUUAUUGAUAUGGGACUGAUUUAUACCUGGGACACCAGGUGGGUGAUAUUAAUGAUCCGGUAGAAC